rnacentral:rRNA from 1 species
AUACGGAGGAUGCAAGCGUUAUCCGGAUUUAUUGGGUUUAAAGGGUGCGUAGGCGGGACUGUAAGUCAGGGGUGAAAUACUGCAGCUUAACUGUAGCAUUGCCUUUGAAACUGCCGUUCUUGAGUACAGUUGAGGUAGGCGGAAUGUGUGUGUAGCGGGGAAAUGCAUAGAUAUACCACAGAACGCCGAUUGCGAAGGCAGCUUACUAAGCUGUUACUGACGCUGAGGCACGAAAGCGUGGGGAUCAAACAGGAUUAGAUACCCUGGUAGUCCACGCUGUAAACGAUGAUUACUGGUUGUUAGCGAUAUAUAGCUAGUGACUGAGCGAAAGCAUUAAGUAAUCCACCUGGGGAGUACGUCGGCAACGAUGAAACUCAAAUGAAUUGACGGGG